AAAUGUCUUCAGGGCAGGGUGCGAGUCCCGAUCGGCGGUAAAGUCCGCGAAAUACCAGCUGCAAUAGGUGAUUGAACUAGUGGAAUUCUAGUACCGACUGUUACAGUCAGGAUGGAAGAAGCGUAU
rnacentral:ncRNA from 2 species